AGGAGGAGGAGGGAAGUAACCCUUCCAGACCACACCCUCAGUGAUGUGCCUCUUUCUCCAAGUCCCCGCCACCCAUCAGCAAGUCAACUCUAAGCCUCAUAAUUCAGUCACCUUUCAGAUCCCUGCCUAUGAGGGCAUGAGGCUCUUGGGAGACAUCUAGAUAUAAACCAUGACACCUGGGGAUGAAGAGGUAAUAUCACCAAGGUAAGAAGAAAGGAAGGGAAAUAGCAAAGCACAGCAGCUUCUCCUAGCUGGCUUCAGGAAACCAGAGUUUGCACUGGAGAUUAUGGAGUCAGACUGUAUCUGUAAAGAACUGGGAAAAAUUCUCACUGUGCAGGAUUGAAGCUUUUCUUUAUCCUUGGUCUUAUUGGCAAAACAGUCUCAAUUUUCUCCUUGAUGAAUAGUCUGUGGUACCCACUUACCAGCACAACCAAAACAGCCUAGUGAGAAAACAAACGAUGUAUUAUUCCCAGAACUUGUCUUUAACCCAGGAACUUAAUGUUGGCAUGUGCUCUAUUUUACCAAUGUCAACUUUUCUUUCCCCAGAAGCAUAUGUGCCAUAUCCAUUUGAACUUUGCUGUGCUCUGUCAUCCUCGGAGGAUUGAGGGUUGCCCUAAGUUCCACAGGACCUCAUGGGAAUGCAUCCCAGUAUGUUGAAUGGGAGGAGAAAAAGGUCUUGGGAAACCAUGAAGAUCAGUGGGAGAAACUGGGGAAGUGCCACACGGAAAAGGGAAUCAUCAUUUUAGACUGACCCCUUUGCUCUGCUCUUUGAUGGCUUACUCUCCACAGAUCGGCAAAGCAGUCCUGUUGGCCAGGAGCAGCAGAGUAAACACGGUCCUAUGCAAGUUUCACUCUUGUGUGGUGUCAGUGUGGGAUUAGAGACCCCAGCCCAGGCAGGAAGGUGUCAUCUGGUCCAAGGGAGCUGGCUCAGGUGAUGGUUCUGCACCCCAUGCCAUGGACCAUCCUGGGAUGUGGUACGAAUCUUCCCCAGAAUGUGUUCAGGUUUAGUAGGGAAAGAAAAGGCCUUCUUGAAUCCUGGUCCUCUUCCAAGUGGUCACAAUCUUUUGCUGCUGCCUACAUUCUAUCAUUCUACCCCACUUGGGAAAACUGAUGUCAUUCUGAUAAAAAUAUCGCAUUUGAAAGUAAGUAUUUCCCAGUUAUGAGCAGUGUAUUUCCUGAAGGCCUAUUUCCUGGCAGGGGCUGAAAUUGCCUGGUCUUUCUAUUGAUUGGAAGUAUAGUGUGUAGGACAGAGAACAUAGUAGAGGGCUUUCCAGUCUUGGCCCUGGUAACAUUUUGGACCAAAUGGUCUCUUAUUGUGAAGGGCUUUCCUGUGCACUGUAGGAUGUUUACUAGCACUUGGAUCUCUACCUAUUAGUUGCUCAUAGCACCCCCAGGUCA
rnacentral:lncRNA from 1 species